AUUAAGUAUAAUGCCUGAUUAAAGGGUAACAUUGAUAUUGUUAAUAAUAUAGAUUUAUUCUAUUUAUACUU
rnacentral:tRNA from 1 species